rnacentral:lncRNA from 1 species
UCCAGUGGCAGUGCCAAGAAGACUUCCGUGGAGGAGGACAGCAGCAUUGAGUCUUCUCAGACACCCGGGUGUGGUUUCCGGGAAAGGGGAUCUAUCAUUGAGCAGCUGGAGAAGGA